UAGGGUUGGAGGAGGAUCUAGUUUGGCAACAUGCUGAAUUACCAGCCCUAAAGAAAGCUAUUGUAUUCACUAAAGUCAACAAUGUGUCACUCAACAGUAUGGGAUAUGUGAUUUGGAGGAGCUCACCAAAGGAAACAAAGAUCAAAUGUCAGUAAUCCAGCUCGUGCAGAGAGGCAGUGCAACCAAGGUUGUUAGGUUCACCUUCAAAGCUCACAACUCAAAACUUAUAUCACUAAGGGCCAACCCUGUCUCCUGUGUGUCUGUAAGGCCUCAAAAGUGGGAUGUUCUCAUACACAACAUCUGGGGCUUCUCUUAAAAAAGCAGGAUUAAUGAAGUUAGAUGGGUCACAGCACCAAGGACAAAAAUAAAACUCAGAUAAAAAAUAAAAUAAUAAAAACCGGAUAAAUAAAACCAGAUCAGGAACCGAAUAAAAACCUGACUGUGAAACUGUUCAGGGUUUUAUCAGUGCAGGAUUAUCCAGCUAACUCAGAGUAGUUUUUUGUUCCAGGAGAUUUGAUCAUCUGUGAAACAUGGUGGCAGCAAAAGAAAAUCCAGAAGAACUGUUGGAAUUCAACUGAUAAUAUG